rfam:Gossypium arboreum cultivar AKA8401 contig_27017_1, whole genome shotgun sequence.
AACCUAUGGUGAGGGCACCUUCUCAAUAAGUCCUUAUACCUCUCCUAUGCAUCGUAAAGAGUUUCAAAAUCUAUCUACACAAAAGAAGAGAUAUCAUUCCUCAACUU